UACGUAGGGUGCAAGCGUUAAUCGGAAUUACUGGGCGUAAAGCGUGCGCAGGCGGUUGUGUAAGACAGAUGUGAAAUCCCCGGGCUCAACCUGGGAACUGCAUUUGUGACUGCACAGCUGGAGUGCGGCAGAGGGGGAUGGAAUUCCGCGUGUAGCAGUGAAAUGCGUAGAUAUGCGGAGGAACACCGAUGGCGAAGGCAAUCCCCUGGGCCUGCACUGGCGCUCAUGCACGAAAGCGUGGGGAGCAAACAGG
rnacentral:rRNA from 1 species